ACGCCGCACCCCGUUCCCCGCACCGCGAGAUGGCGGCGCAACGCCGGCCGGCACCGGCGCUGAUGGGCGAACUGGUGCUGGUGGAGGAGAUCCUCCUCCUCUUCCCGCCGCGUGACCCCGCGAGCCGUGGUGCCGCAUCGUCUCGGCGAGGGCUUCCGCCGCCGGUUCCGCGAGUUCCGGCGAACACUUGUACAGCAAGACUUGACAUCCUCUGCUUGGUCCCCACCGCCUCCUUCCCCGCGGCCGUGCCUUCUGAAGCAGCGGUUGCGAAGACAUCCUUCCAGAAUCUUCUCCACGCCGCAUCGACCUUGCCAGCUGCUGGUGGACCCCUCUGCCACAAUGACGGCCAUGUAUACUCCUCUCCCCCGAGUCCACAUCACCUGCCUCCCCUCCGACUCCGAGUUUCAAAUUUGGAGCAGCGGCAGCGCAAGCGCACCGCCACCGACCUCCAGAGCUAUGGCGGCGGAGAACCACGCGCCGCCGGCGCAUGCGGAGGAGGCCCACCGCUCGUCGACGCCGUACAUGUGCCUCGACGUCGUGCAGGAGAUUCUGAUCAGGCUCCCACCGGAAGAGCCCGAGAACUUGCUCCGCGCCGCGCUCGUGUGCAAGGCGUGGCUCCGAAUCCUCUGCACCGAGGUCUUUCGCCGUGAGUAUCGCGCGCACCACCGCUCGCCGCCCGUGAUGGGCUUGGUGUUCAACGUGAGAGAGGAGACGGAUUUGGCGCGGCUGGCGCCGACUACGCGCUUCCUACCAUCCACCAGGGAUCACGAGGACCUGGAUGUUGUGGAUGCCCGUCAUGGACGUGUUCUUCUCCAUUCAUUCUUCUCUGAUAUGCUUGACCCUAUGUUCAGUGGCGAAUCUAGCCCGAAAAUGUAGAGGGGGAUCAUGUCCACUCUCUUCUUCUUCCUCCUCUCUUCCUCUUCAUUGUUUCAUCCCAAAAAUCAAGGGGGGGCUUAGGGGGGUAUCCAUGGGUAUUAGGGAGGUAGGGGGGCUUAAUCCCCCCUAGCCCCCCAUGUGGAUCCGCCCCUGCCUAUGUUCGUCGUGUGGGAUCCCAUCAGGGACUCGCAUUGGAACAUGAAGGCCCCCGAAAUCGUGGUCUGCUACUGUGCUCUGCUACUGUGCUCUGCGGGGAUGCGAGGUGUGAUCAUCUGCGCUGUGAAUGCAGUGGUUCCUUCCUGGUCGUCUUCAUUGCAGUGGACACAGCAGCAGGCCUUACCUCUGCAUUCUGCUACCGUCAGGAUAGCAACACAUGGACCAAAGCUGCCACCACUAACAGUGCCGUGGUCCUCAACAUCAAGCCCACGGUACUGAUCAGUGAGAGCCUGUUCUUCAGAACCUUGGACACCGAAGGGCGGAUACUUCGAUACAAUGUGUUGGCUGAUAGACUAUCGUUCAUCAAUCCUGCAACAAUGGACCAGGUUCCCUGUAGGGACUUCAUCCUGCUGCCUGGUAAUGAUGGACGGCUGCUGCUGGCCAAGGUUCAACUGUCAACACUGCUAUUGUGGGAGACGGAGGUUCCGCCCAACAGCACAGUCGUCACAUAGUUGUCCAUUCCCAGCUUCAGCCUAUCAAGUCCCACUCGCCUUCUCCAGGAUAGAUCCCCAGGAACGUAUGCUAUUGGCUUCUCUGAAGUUCACCAUCUGCUGUAUUUCACCACUGGCAAGGGAUUUCAUUCUAUCCAUUUGAAGUCGGGAAUGACAUCUGGUAGGUUUUUCAUCAGUGAAAGUAUGGAUAGCACACUUGUACCAUUUGUUAGUUUCGUUACAGCAGACCUUGUUCAGACAACACUUGCGCGGUACCUACCUGACGUAUGAUGACGAUCGGAGGAUCAUAACAUUUCAGUGAAGAAAUAGCAUCUGAAGCUGCGGGAGGAUGCUGCUCACAGUGUGUAUGCGCCGAGGAUGCUGGAGGCUGUCGUCAACGAGUCGACUGAGGAUGAAGAGGAAGCGUGAAACCUCCAGCCGUAGUGCUGGGUUUCUUACUUUGCCCUUUUGUUAGCGCCAAGUUAAAUUGCUAGUCUUGCUCCUCUCCCUAGAAACUCUGGGUUUAAACAUGGCCCUUAAGUUGUGUGAAGUUCUGUAUUUCCGUUAUCUGUAAUGGAAAUGGGGUGCGCCUCGUCUGGAAAAAAAAUCUGAAGUUGCGGGAGACUGACUGAUGAGGGUUCCUGAUGAGAGAGUGCUUCUAAGAAGUAUCUGUCAAUGUUACUUAUGCAUAUUCACUUUCUUUCUGUUGGUGGUAAAGAUGGGUCAUUUGUAGUAUAUGAAUGCCAAUUCUGUAAUAUGUUUCCUUGA